rnacentral:rRNA from 4 species
UUGCUAUUGGGGUCCGAUUUAGCCAUGCUAGUUGCACGAGUUCAUACUCGUGGCGAAAAGCUCAGUAACACGUGGCCAAACUACCCUACAGAGAACGAUAACCUCGGGAAACUGAGGCUAAUAGUUCAUACGGGAGUCAUGCUGGAAUGCCGACUCCCCGAAACGCUCAGGCGCUGUAGGAUGUGGCUGCGGCCGAUUAGGUAGACGGUGGGGUAACGGCCCACCGUGCCGAUAAUCGGUACGGGUUGUGAGAGCAAGAGCCCGGAGACGGAAUCUGAGACAAGAUUCCGGGCCCUACGGGGCGCAGCAGGCGCGAAACCUUUACACUGCACGCAAGUGCGAUAAGGGGACCCCAAGUGCGAGGGCAUAUAGUCCUCGCUUUUCACGACUGUAAGGCGGUCGUGGAAUAAGAGCUGGGCAAGACCGGUGCCAGCCGCCGCGGUAAUACCGGCAGCUACAAGUGAUGACCGAUAUUAUUGGGCCUAAAGCGCCGUAGCCGGCCACGAAGGUUCAUCGGGAAAUCCGCCAGCUCAACUGGCGGGCGUCCGGUGAAAACCACGUGGCUUGGGACCGGAAGGCUCGAGGGGUACGUCCGGGGUAGGAGUGAAAUCCCGUAAUCCUGGACGGACCACCGAUGGCGAAAGCACCUCGAGAAGACGGAUCCGACGGUGAGGGAACGAAAGCUAGGGUCUCGAACCGGUUAGAUACCCGGGUAGUCCUAGCUGUAAACGAUGCUCGCUAGGUGUGGCACAGGCUACGAGCCUGUGCUGUGCCGUAGGGAAGCCGAGAAGCGAGCCGCCUGGGAAGUACGUCCGCAAGGAUGAAACUUAAAGGAAUUGGCGGGGGAGCACUACAACCGGAGGAGCCUGCGGUUUAAUUGGACUCAACGCCGGACAUCUCACCAGCUCCGACUACAGUGAUGACGAUCAGGUUGAUGACCUUAUCACGACGCUGUAGAGAGGAGGUGCAUGGCCGCCGUCAGCUCGUACCGUGAGGCGUCCUGUUAAGUCAGGCAACGAGCGAGA